rnacentral:rRNA from 1 species
UACGUAGGGGGCUAGCGUUGUCCGGAAUCAUUGGGCGUAAAGAGCGCGUAGGCGGCCAGAUAAGUCCGGUGUGAAAGUCACAGGCUCAACCUGUGAAUGCCGCUGGAAACUGUCUGGCUAGAGUCCGGAAGGGGCGAGUGGAAUUCCUGGUGUAGCGGUGAAUGCGCAGAUAUCAGGAGGAACACCGGUGGCGAAGGCGCCGCUCUGGGCCGAAACUGACGCUGAGGAGCGAAAGCGUGGGGAGCGAACAGG